UACGUAGGGCGCAAGCGUUGUCCGGAAUUAUUGGGCGUAAAGAGCUCGUAGGCGGUCUGUCGCGUCUGCUGUGAAAAACCUAAGGCUCAACCUUGGGCUUGCAGUGGGUACGGGCAGACUAGAGUGCGGUAGGGGUGACUGGAAUUCCUGGUGUAGCGGUGGAAUGCGCAGAUAUCAGGAGGAACACCGGUGGCGAAGGCGGGUCUCUGGCCCGGUACUGAC
rnacentral:rRNA from 1 species